rnacentral:rRNA from 1 species
AACGAACGCUGGCGGCAUGCCUAACACAUGCAAGUCGAACGGGAUCCUGGCUUCGGUCAGGUGAGAGUGGCGGACGGGUGAGUAACGCGUGGGAACCUGCCCAGUGGUGGGGGAUAACUGCGGGAAACUGCAGCUAAUACCGCAUGAGCCCGAGAGGGGAAAGAUUUAUCGCCAUUGGAGGGGCCCGCGUUCGAUUAGGUAGUUGGUGAGGUAACGGCUCACCAAGCCGACGAUCGAUAGCUGGUCUGAGAGGAUGAUCAGCCACACUGGGACUGAGAUACGGCCCAGACUCCUACGGGAGGCAGCGGUGGGGAAUAUUGGACAAUGGGGGCAACCCUGAUCCAGCAAUGCCGCGUGAGUGAUGAAGGCCUUCGGGUUGUAAAGCUCUUUUGCCAGGGACGAUGAUGACGGUACCUGGAGAAUAAGCCCCGGCUAACUUCGUGCCAGCCGCCGCUGUAACAC